rnacentral:misc_RNA from 1 species
UUUCCGUAGGUGAACCUGCGGAAGGUUCAUUGUAGGAUUGUUUUGGGAGGGGUGGUUGUGUUUUGUGGGGAUUGUGUGUGGUUGUUUGGAUUGCCUGGAUUGACUGGGUGUCUGCAACUCGACACGUCUCAUCACAACCACUCUUUACAUUGGCACAGACCAGUGGUCUGGUGUUUAGAGCACAGACUCGGUCUGGUGUUUAAAGAAACAGACCACUUGUGUCUGUUGUUUGCGCUUGCUCGUUUGACAGAAACAGUACCAUAUCAUUGCAAAACUUUUAACAAUGGAUCUCUUGGCUCUU